GCACAAAAAGCCUAUGGAGAGUAUAAGGUCCUGAGUUCAAACUCCAAGACCAACACACACAUGAAAAUUUACACACACACACACACACACACACACACACACACACUACCCAUUCUUCACCUGCAGGACUCCAUAAACAUAUUCCAUGUUUU